rnacentral:rRNA from 1 species
UACAGAGGCCCCAAGCAUUAUCCGGAAUCACUGGGCGUAAAGGGUGUCAAGGCGGUCAUGUUAGUCGUUCGUAAAAUCCGUGGGCUCAACCUACGGCUCGCGAGCGAAACGGCAUGACUUGAGGUUGGAAGAGGUGCGUGGAACUCACGGUGUAGGGGUGAAAUCCGUUGAUAUCGUGGGGAACACCAAAGGCGAAGGCAGCGCACUGGUCCAAAUCUGACGCUCACACACGAAAGCCAGGGUAGCGAACGGG